GACGAACGCUGGCGGCGUGCCUAAUACAUGCAAGUCGAACGCUUUUUCUUUCACCGGAGCUUGCUCCACCGAAAGAAAAAGAGUGGCGAACGGGUGAGUAACACGUGGGUAACCUGCCCAUCAGAAGGGGAUAACACUUGGAAACAGGUGCUAAUACCGUAUAACACUAUUUUCCGCAUGGAAGAAAGUUGAAAGGCGCUUUUGCGUCACUGAUGGAUGGACCCGCGGUGCAUUAGCUAGUUGGUGAGGUAGCGGCUCACCAAGGCAACGAUGCAUAGCCGACCUGAGAGGGUGAUCGGCCACACUGGGACUGAGACACGGCCCAGACUCCUACGGGAGGUAGCAGUAGGGAAUCUUCGGCAAUGGACGAAAGUCUGACCGAGCAACGCCGCGUGAGUGAAGAAGGUUUUCGGAUCGUAAAACUCUGUUGUUAGAGAAGAACAAGGAUGAGAGUAAAACGUUCAUCCCUUGACGGUAUCUAACCAGAAAGCCACGGCUAACUACGUGCCAGCCGCCGCUGUAA
rnacentral:rRNA from 1 species